rnacentral:lncRNA from 1 species
CUUUUUAUACAGAUCGAGGUAGCUCGAGAUUUUGUUAGGAUCAUUCUGGGUGUACCACUUGUGCACAACCCUCGCCAUGUGUACGAGGAGUGUUAUGCAAGGUUGUUACUGUUCAAUAAAGAAUACUUGGGAGUUUUUGAAGAUCCCAAGGAUACCAUCUCGAACGUUCCACCUGAGCAAUGCACGCAAGAAAUGCCAUUCUCUGGUUCUGAUCCAUUCAGUCAAGGAUCCCCUUAUCGGCCUGACAUCCCAUUUGUAGUUGAGAAGGAACCUACAAUGCAAUUUACACCUCCUCCCCCUUACAUGUACCAAUAGACAAUUGCAGCCUAUGCAGUUGACGCUUACAUUCGGAGCAUAUAGACAGUGGGGAGGAAGGCGUGUAUAAUAUUCUUUCUUCGUGGUUACGGGUGGAGCGGUCGUCGUUCUUUAGGAGGGAUCCUCUCAAGGUUGAAAAGGUUGAGUGGCUAAAUCGGAAUUGGUUUUCUGAUAUGGUGGACCAAUCCCAGUUCCUUCACAUAGGUUUGAUGACGCAUAUAGAUUGGCACAUAAGGACGUACUAUCGCUUCUGCAAGGGAACUUGGUAUAUGAUCAGACGAUCGACGCGUAUCUCAGUUUGUUGAAGUUACGAGAAGAUCGUCUACGACUAGGCCGGUAUGAGGGGUAAAUUUAAUUUCAUUCCUUGCUGUUUUUUCCAAUUAUUAUCACAGUGGUAUAAAGUAUAUAUAGCACACUUUCAACAUCACAAUAAUAAAUAUGACAUUUUCGACGUGUCUCCGUUUUUUUUCAGCCAAGGAGCACAACCGGAGUUGUCGGAUUGUGAUUUUGCAUUCUUUUCAGUUAAGCACCAAAAUGAACAUUAUUUUUUGUUCGUUCUAGAUAUUAAGCAAUGGAGGGUUUUGCUGAUAGAUUUUUUGUGUGACGCCCCCAAAAUAGGUAUACAACACCCAUUCUGAGUCGUCAAAUACAUGGUACAAAAAGCAAACUACAACUUCAAUAAUACAAUUAUCGUACAAAAUACGACAACACAUACUGUGAGUUUAAAUACAAAUAUUGUCUUCUAGACAAUAUCAACACUCAAAUAAGUCUUCAUUACAAUUAUUCAUACACUAUUUUACAGAAAUUGUGAGGACUGCUAAAACAUCUUUCUAGAACCAUUACUCCAUACCCCGACUCGAU